rnacentral:rRNA from 1 species
GUAAAAGAUGGACCCGCGUCCGAUUAGCUAGAUGGUGAGGUAACGGCCCACCAUGGCAACGAUCCGUAGCCGAACUGAGAGGGUGACCGGCCACAUUGGGACUGAGACACGGCCCACACUCCUACGGGAGGCAGCAGUGGGGAAUAUUGCACAAUGGGGGAAACCCUGAUGCAGCGACGCCGCGUGAACGAAGAAGUUCUUCGGUAUGUAAAGUUCUAUCACCAGGGAAGAUAAUGACGGUACCUUAGUAAGAAGCACCGGCUAAAUACGUGCCAGCAGCCGCGGUAAUACGUAGGGUGCAAGCGUUAUCCGGAUUUACUGGGUGUAAAGGGAGCGCAGGCGGUGCGACAAGUUUGAAGUGAAAUCCAUGGGCUCAACCCAUAUAUUGCAUUCGAAACUGUCAUUCUAGAGUGUCGGAGAGGUAAGCGGAAUUCCUAGUGUAGCGGUGAAAUGCGUAGAUAUUAGGAGGAACACCAGUGGCGAAGGCGGCUUACUGGACGAUAACUGACGCUGAGGCUCGAAAGCAUGGGGAGCAAACAGGAUUAGAUACCCUGGUAGUCCACGCCGU